GCUCAGAUUGAACGCUGGCGGCAGGCCUAACACAUGCAAGUCGAGCGGAUGAAGGGAGCUUGCUCCUGGAUUCAGCGGCGGACGGGUGAGUAAUGCCUAGGAAUCUGCCUGGUAGUGGGGGAUAACGUCCGGAAACGGGCGCUAAUACCGCAUACGUCCUGAGGGAGAAAGUGGGGGAUCUUCGGACCUCACGCUAUCAGAUGAGCCUAGGUCGGAUUAGCUAGUUGGUGGGGUAAAGGCCUACCAAGGCGACGAUCCGUAACUGGUCUGAGAGGAUGAUCAGUCACACUGGAACUGAGACACGGUCCAGACUCCUACGGGAGGCAGCAGUGGGGAAUAUUGGACAAUGGGCGAAAGCCUGAUCCAGCCAUGCCGCGUGUGUGAAGAAGGUCUUCGGAUUGUAAAGCACUUUAAGUUGGGAGGAAGGGCAGUAAGUUAAUACCUUGCUGUUUUGACGUUACCAACAGAAUAAGCACCGGCUAACUUCGUGCCAGCAGCCGCGGUAAUACGAAGGGUGCAAGCGUUAAUCGGAAUUACUGGGCGUAAAGCGCGCGUAGGUGGUUCAGCAAGUUGGAUGUGAAAUCCCCGGGCUCAACCUGGGAACUGCAUCC
rnacentral:rRNA from 1 species